rnacentral:rRNA from 1 species
CAAUAGCGUAUAUUAAAGUUGUUGCAGUUAAAAAGCUCGUAGUUGGAUUUCUGGUGGGAGCGAUCGGUCUGGCGCUUAGCGCGAGUACUUGCAUCGUCUCCGGCCAUCCUUGGGGAGAGUCUGUCUGGCAUUAGGUUGUCGGGCAGAGGAUCCUCAUCGUUUACUGUGAAAAAAUUAGAGUGUUCAAAGCAGGCUUAUGCCGUUGAAUAUAUUAGCAUGGAAUAAUAAGAUAGGACUUUGGUACUAUUUUGUUGGUUUGCGCACCAAAGUAAUGAUUAAUAGGGACAGCUGGGGGUAUUCGUAUUCCGUUGUCAGAGGUGAAAUUCUUGGAUUUACGGAAGACGAACUACUGCGAAAGCAUUUACCAAGGAUGUUUUCAUUAA